ensembl:lncRNA
CCGCGUCUCAUAAAGCAACCACACUAAUCUAAGCGGAGACGAAUCUAAUCGAUUCGUGAGCGGCCGAAUGGUCACGAAUGUAUCCGAAAAUGCGCACGAGCAACCUGUAAGCCAGCCAGGGAGUGAGACAGCAUGAUUGAAGGGACUGUAGGCAGGCAGACCAGCAGAGAGUCUCCGACCGCUCUGGAGCAGAAGUCCGUGAGACACAAACUCUGGAUUCACAACAAGAGAAGCUUUUCCAAUCUACCGUAGUUAUAGCAACCAGUCUCAAUAACGGGAUUAUAACGGCCGCGUGGCACAUUAGUAGAGGAAGAGUCGUUACUCUGUGGAAUCAAAGAAUUUUCCAGUUGAUUUUAAAAGUGGAUUUGUACGUGGCCAACUGAACCGGGUGAAACGAGCGGUUGCCUUGCACGGAAAGAAAUGCAAACCGCGGCGGAACGGAGAGACGACAUUGUGGAUGGUGACUGAGGCCAUCAGAGGCUUCUGUUUUGGAAGAAAGGAAGACAUGCAGGUUUAAAACAACAUGAGAGUGAAUAAAUGAUGACAGAGUUUUAAUUUGUCCUUCCACACAGCAAUUCUUUCCGCCAGGAGUUAUUUUAAGAAGGGAGCCUAUAAUAUACAUGACCAUACGUGAACACUGCGGGCAAGGGUUUCAACCGUCCAGAGUUUUUAUUGAUUAAAAACAAACAAACAAGCAUAUGUGAGGAACUUCAGAGUGCUCAUGAGGCAUGUCAGCAAUAUCAAAUGAUCUGGAAAAGCUCAAGAGCAACUUUCGUGCAAUUGCAUCAUAAUUCUGGAAUAAUUUGGCCAAAGACAACAUUGUUUUCUUGAUCCUGUGCAGUCUUCUGGUACUAAUGUUCAUUUGGUCUGUGUAAUUAGUUUAAUAUCCUGUCAGUUCUGGAUUUGAUCAUAAAGACAGGACGGCUCCUGAGGCUAAAAGAUGGCUGGAGAAAAUUUAUGGUCUAUAUUUUGACUGGCGUUAAGAUGAACUGACCAUAUCGCCCCCAGUAGCACACGUGUGAUUGGAUCACUGUCACAUUUAUGUCAUUGUAUUUGUUGCUUUGGUAAAUGACUUAACAAAACAGUCAAUCAUUGUGACCUGCUGAAAUAAAAUGUAAUAAUAAUAAUAAAAUAAAAAAAAAUAAAAAAAAAAGAUGUGCAUGAAAAUAAUUUUGUGUAUACAUUAACUGUAGGUCAGCAUUUUUUACAUUAAUAACAUAAGUGUCAUAGCAGCUGUCAGUAAAGAGCUUGAAACCAUAGCAAAUGCCCUUUAAGUAAGAUAUACAGUUGUUGUAAUGGAUCUUUGAGUAUUUUUAGCAGAUUUGUUUGUGUCAAUAUACUUUAGUAUCUUCCACCCUCUUACCUAUUUUAUUCAGGCAGAGGGAACUAAUUGGCACAUUCAGAAUGCUCGGCCCUCUGUUGCCACAUGCUAAAAAGCCACUUGGUGCAAACAUCCCCCUUGCUGACGCUGUCUUAUGGUUUCCAUAUGCUCUGAUUUUGGGUAAUUUCAGGGCCUGGGCUCUAAUGAGAGAUUUUAUUUCUGUAAUGCAUCGGUUGUGGUGUCGGGGAUCAACAUUUAUAGGACUCAUAUCUGGGAACUCCGAGACUUCUCAGUGGCACAUUGGGCUCUGGCAUGGGAAUACACAGUUUUUAUUUUAACAAUUCAGCCUAGUCGACACUUUUUUAGGAGUCAUGUGGCACAGUCAGUGUGGUCGAAAUAGCUUCAGUGUGGUAAAAGUUUACGUUUUUUAAGUUUCAGAUCUGUUGAUUGCUAUAGUUCUGUUCACUCCAAGAAGGUCUUGAGCACCUGAAUAAAAGACAACGCUUUGUAAGAGAACAUUUAAUUGCUUUGCACUUGAACACAGGGGUUUCUUUCUUGUUUUACUUGCAAGACCACCUAGUAUAUAAAAACUGCUUAUUUAGAAAUCUUUUUAUACCGUCCAAAAUAGAAAUGUUUAAAAUGUAUUUAAUACAGGGCCUGAAUUUGUUUUGUUUUUUUAAACUGGGGUGGGGUAGGGGGGAUUCCCCCUUACAUGGGUCACAUGGGGG